UACGUAGGGUCCGAGCGUUGUCCGGAAUUAUUGGGCGUAAAGGGCUCGUAGGCGGUCCGUCACGUCGGGAGUGAAAACUCGGAGCUUAACUCCGAGCCUGCUUCCGAUACGGGCAGACUAGAGGUAGGCAGGGGAGAGCGGAACUCCUGGUGUAGCGGUGGAAUGCGCAGAUAUCAGGAAGAACACCGGUGGCGAAGGCGGGUCUCUGGGCCGAUACUGACGCUGAGGAGCGAAAGCGUGGGGAGCGAACAGG
rnacentral:rRNA from 1 species